UACGUAAGGUGCAAGCGUUAAUCGGAAUUACUGGGCGUAAAGCGUGCGCAGGCGGUUUCGUAAGACAGACGUGAAAUCCCGGCGUCACCUCGGACGUAGCGUUUGUUGACUGCGAGGCGUAGAGUACGGCGAGAGGGGGUAGGAAUUCCACGUGUAGCAGUGAAAUAGCGUAGAGAUGUGGAGGAAUACCGAUGGCGAAGGCAGCCCCU
rnacentral:rRNA from 1 species